AUUUUGCCGAAUUCCUUUUUAUUAAUUUAAAUAAUUUUUUUUUUAUUUAUACAUACAUAUAUACUAAUUUUAUCAUUAUUCCUAUUUUUUUUUAAUUUAAAAAUAUUUUUUUAUAAAAAAUUAAAUUUUAAUAAAAUUUUAAUUUAAUGAAAUUAUUUAUAAAAAACUAUAAUUUUUAAAAAAUAUAAAUUUUAAAAAUUUCAAUUAAUUUAAAUUUAUAUAUUAUAAUAAUUUAAUUUAAAGCUUAUCCCUUAAAAUAUAAAAUUAAUUUUAAAAAAAAUUAAUUAAUUAAUUUUUUUUAAAAUUAAUUUAAAAUUAAAUUUUUUUCUAAAAAAAUUAGAUAUCUUUCAAAACGAUUAACUUUUCAUUUCCAAUUAAUUAUUAAAAAUAAUUAUGCAAUAUUAACUUUUUUAAUUAAUUAACUCUUUGAAAUUCGAAAUAAAUUUAAUUAAAUUAAAUUUUUUUAAUAAACUCUGAUACACAAGAUACAAUAAACAAAAUUUACUUUUAUAUAAAUUUUUAUUUCAAUAUUUUCAAUUUUCUUCCACAAUACUAAUUUACUAUAAAUUUUAAAAUUUUUUCUAUAAAUAUACUUUAACCCCCAUUAAAUAUUUUAUAUUAAAAUUUUUUUUCAUAUUUUUAUUUUUAUUAAAUUAACCCCC
rnacentral:rRNA from 1 species